rfam:Rattus norvegicus chromosome 4, whole genome shotgun sequence.
GGGGAUUUAGCUCAAUGGUAGAGCGUUUGCCUAGCAAGCGCAAGGCCCUGGGUUCGGUCCCCAGCUCCG